CUCAGUUCGGAUUGGAGUCUGCAACCCGACUCCAUGAAGCUGGAUUCGCUAGUAAUCGCGCAUCAGCCACGGCGCGGUGAAUACGUUCCCGGGCCCUUGUACACACCGCCCCGUCAAGCCAUGGAAGCCGGGGGGUGCCUGAAGUGCGUGACCGCAAGGAGCGCCCUAGGGUAAAACCGGUGACUGGGGCUAAGUCGUAACAAGGUACC
rnacentral:rRNA from 1 species